GUGAGGAAUCUUCCACAAUGGGCGAAAGCCUGAUGGAGCAACGCCGCGUGAAGGAUGAAGGUCUUCGGAUUGUAAACUUCUUUUAUGAGUGAAGAAUAUGACGGUCACUCAUGAAUAAGCACCGGCUAACUACGUGCCAGCAGCCGCGGUCAUACGUAGGGUGCACGCAUUAUCCGGAGUGACUGGGCGUAAAGAGUUGCGUAGGCGGUUAUGUAAGCGAAUAGUGAAACCUGGUGGGUCAACCACACAGACUAUUAUUCGAACUGCAUAACUCGAGAAUGGUAGAGGUAACUGGAAUUUCUUGUGUAGGAGUGAAAUCCGUAGAUAUAAGAAGGAACACCAAUGGCGUAGGCAGGGUACUGGGCCAUUUCUGACGCUAAGGCACGAAAGCGUGGGGAGCGAACCGGAUUAGAUACCCGGGUAGUCC
rnacentral:rRNA from 1 species